UACGUAGGGACCAAGCGUUGUCCGGAAUCAUUGGGCGUAAAGAGCGUGUAGGCGGCUUGUUAAGUCUUGCGUGAAAUCUCGGGGCUCAACCCCGAGCGGUCGUGAGAAACUGGCAGGCUAGAGUGCGGGAGAGGAGAGUGGAAUUCCUGGUGUAGCGGUGAAAUGCGUAGAUAUCGGGAGGAACACCGGUGGCGAAGGCGGCUCUCUGGACCACUACUGACGCUGAGGCGCGAAAGCUAGGGGAGCAAACAGG
rnacentral:rRNA from 1 species